CACCUGAACCAACUUGGAGCUCAGGAACUCAGGAGGGGAUUGGAGAGAGUGUGGAGACUCUGUUGUCCACAAUGAAUGCUCCUUCCCCAUCCAAAAAAAUCCCCUAGCCCAGUUUUUGGGCAGAUGCCAGACUUUUAUUCUGAAGCGUGGGCCACAUCCUAUGAGGUAAUCUUUGGAAAGUCAUUCUGAGGCGAAAUCCCAUUGGUCAGUUGGGGAAGCCCCUCCCAGGAUUCCUAGCGCUCCCCCUUCCCCGAAGCCUAUAAAAGCGCAGGUCCCGCCUCGGCAGCCACGGGACACCUGCAUCUGCCAACAAGACUGGAAGCAGUUCUCUUAGGGAGAGGGAGGAGCAGGAUGGUGGAAUAGGAGGCUCCACUGAUCAUCCUCCCUGCAAGGACACCAAUUUAUCAACUAUCUACACAGAAAAGACAUCUUCAUAAGAACCAAAGAUCAGAACUCUUACCGACUUUAAAGAAGAGAAGUAAGAAAGGCUUUCUUUAAUUCUUGAAAACUGGGGCAGAGGUGCCUUUUCAGCAUUUAACAAUACAAAGAAGGAGGAAAAAGAAGAUCAUAGCUAACUUGAAGCAGCAACUGAUUGCAGGGGAAAAACUGUUACAUCAAAUAGGAGCUAGAUGCUUUUGGGCUUUGCCUGGUACUGCUCCUUUCCCUCUGGCACAAGCAAAGGAAAAGAGAUAUAUUGCUGUCAUUUUAUUUUCUGCUGUUAUUUAAUAGAGACACUCAUCCAAGACAAAUGGAACUUUAUUAGGUAAAAAGUGGUGCAAAUGUGAGUCAUCUAUUCUGUUCUUCUGAAAGGCCUGCCUUUAUAGUUACUCUGGAUUAAUGAAACAAUCACUUUAUUCUGGGUACUGUUAAAAUACCAUUACAGUCACAAAUUUACUUGUGGAUCUUAUCUUCUGAGAAGAUCUAAGUAAUGAAACCAAGAACUGGUGAAGAGGGUAAAAAGAUGAUAUAAUAUUCUCUCCUCUUGCAUAUAAGAAAUGUUCAAUAAAUG